rnacentral:rRNA from 1 species
UACGAAGGGGGCUAGCGUUGUUCGGAAUCACUGGGCGUAAAGCGCACGUAGGCGGAUCUUUAAGUCAGGGGUGAAAUCCCGAGGCUCAACCUCGGAACUGCCUUUGAUACUGGGGAUCUCGAGUCCGGGAGAGGUGAGUGGAACUGCGAGUGUAGAGGUGAAAUUCGUAGAUAUUCGCAAGAACACCAGUGGCGAAGGCGGCUCACUGGCCCGGAACUGACGCUGAGGUGCGAAAGCGUGGGGGGCAAACAGG